rnacentral:rRNA from 4 species
ACGGGUGAGUAAUGCCUAGGAAUCUGCCUGGUAGUGGGGGAUAACGUCCGGAAACGGACGCUAAUACCGCAUACGUCCUACGGGAGAAAGCAGGGGACCUUCGGGCCUUGCGCUAUCAGAUGAGCCUAGGUCGGAUUAGCUAGUUGGUGGGGUAAUGGCUCACCAAGGCGACGAUCCGUAACUGGUCUGAGAGGAUGAUCAGUCACACUGGAACUGAGACACGGUCCAGACUCCUACGGGAGGCAGCAGUGGGGAAUAUUGGACAAUGGGCGAAAGCCUGAUCCAGCCAUGCCGCGUGUGUGAAGAAGGUCUUCGGAUUGUAAAGCACUUUAAGUUGGGAGGAAGGGCCAUUACCUAAUACGUGAUGGUUUUGACGUUACCGACAGAAUAAGCACCGGCUAACUCUGUGCCAGCAGCCGCGGUAAUACAGAGGGUGCAAGCGUUAAUCGGAAUUACUGGGCGUAAAGCGCGCGUAGGUGGUUUGUUAAGUUGGAUGUGAAAUCCCCGGGCUCAACCUGGGAACUGCAUUCAAAACUGACUGACUAGAGUAUGGUAGAGGGUGGUGGAAUUUCCUGUGUAGCGGUG